AACGAACGCUGGCGGCAUGCCUAACACAUGCAAGUCGAACGAGACCUUCGGGUCUAGUGGCGAACGGGUGCGUAACGCGUGGGAACCUGCCCUUAGGUUCGGAAUAACUCCCCGAAAGGGGUGCUAAUACCGGAUAAUGUCUUCGGACCAAAGAUUUAUCGCCUUUGGAUGGGCCCGCGUUGGAUUAGCUAGUUGGUAGGGUAAAAGCCUACCAAGGCGACGAUCCAUAGCUGGUCUGAGAGGAUGAUCAGCCACACUGGGACUGAGACACGACCCAGACUCCUACGGGAGGCAGCAGUGGGGAAUAUUGGACAAUGGGCGAAAGCCUGAUCCAGCAAUGCCGCGUGAGUGAUGAAGGCCUUAGGGUUGUAAAGCUCUUUUACCCGGGAUGAUAAUGACAGUACCGGGAGAAUAAGCUCCGGCUAACUCCGUG
rnacentral:rRNA from 1 species